AUUGAACGCUGGCGGCAGGCCUAACACAUGCAAGUCGAACGAGCGGCGGACGGGUGAGUAAUGUCUGGGAAACUGCCCGAUGGAGGGGGAUAACUACUGGAAACGGUGGCUAAUACCGCAUACUAUCGGAUGAACCCAGCUGGGAUUAGCUGGUAGGUGGGGGAAAGGCUCACCUAGGCGACGAUCCCUAGCUGGUCUGAGAGGAUGACCAGCCACACGGGAACUGAGACACGGCCCAGACUCCUACGGGAGGCAGCAGUGGGGAAUAUUGCACAAUGGGCGCAAGCCUGAUGCAGCCAUGCCGCGUGUAUGAAGAAGGCCUUAGGGUUGUAAAGUACUUUCAGCGGGGAGGCGUUACCCGCAGAAGAAGCACCGGCUAACUCCGUGCCAGCAGCCGCGGUAAUUC
rnacentral:rRNA from 1 species